rnacentral:rRNA from 1 species
CCUACGGGAGGCAGCAGUAAGGAAUAUUGGUCAAUGGACGAAAGUCUGAACCAGCCAUGCCGCGUGAAGGAUGAAGGCCCUCUGGGUUGUAAACUUCUUUUAUCUGGGACGAAAAAAGGGAAUUCUUUCUCACUUGACGGUACCAGAGGAAUAAGCACCGGCUAACUCCGUGCCAGCAGCCGCGGUAAUACGGAGGGUGCAAGCGUUAUCCGGAUUUACUGGGUUUAAAGGGAGCGUAGGUGGGCAGGUAAGUCAGUGGUGAAAUCUCCGGGCUUAACCCGGAAACUGCCAUUGAUACUAUCUGUCUUGAAUAUUCUGGAGGUAAGCGGAAUAUGUCAUGUAGCGGUGAAAUGCUUAGAUAUGACAUAGAACACCAAUUGCGAAGGCAGCUUACUACGGGAUUAUUGACACUGAGGCUCGAAAGCGUGGGGAUCAAACAGGAUUAGAUACCCUGGUAGUCCACGCCCUAAACCGAUGGAUACUCGACAUCAGCGAUACACUGUUGGUGUCUGAGCGAAAGCAUUAAGUAUCCCACCUGGAAGUACGAUCGCAGAUUGAACUCAAAGGAAUUGACGG